GAUGAACGCUGGCGGCGUGCCUAAUACAUGCAAGUCGAGCGAACGGACGAGAAGCUUGCUUCUCUGAUGUUAGCGGCGGACGGGUGAGUAACACGUGGAUAACCUACCUAUAAGACUGGGAUAACUUCGGGAAACCGGAGCUAAUACCGGAUAAUAUUUUGAACCGCAUGGUUCAAAAGUGAAAGACGGUCUUGCUGUCACUUAUAGAUGGAUCCGCGCUGCAUUAGCUAGUUGGUAAGGUAACGGCUUACCAAGGCAACGAUGCAUAGCCGACCUGAGAGGGUGAUCGGCCACACUGGAACUGAGACACGGUCCAGACUCCUACGGGAGGCAGCAGUAGGGAAUCUUCCGCAAAGGGCGAAAGCCUGACGGAGCAACGCCGCGUGAGUGAUGAAGGUCUUCGGAUCGUAAAACUCUGUUAUUAGGGAAGAACAUAUGUGUAAGUAACUGUGCGCAUCUUGACGGUACCUAAUCAGAAAGCCACGGCUAACUACGUG
rnacentral:rRNA from 1 species